rnacentral:lncRNA from 1 species
CAAGGUGAGGUUGGAGGAUGAGAUAUCUUGUACUUUUUUUUCUUUUCUUUUUGUAGAAAAGUUGUUGUCAAUGAAACAAAGUUUUGUUCCUUUUUAAGUUUAUGCUAUGCUUCUUUUGUCUAUUCAGUCAUGUCAGUAUGUCCUCGAUGGUUAUAUCCCUUCAAUUUCUGUCGUUGAGCCCUUAUCGGUGCCUUCUGCUUUAAGGAUUAGGCCCCAUAUAAGUGACCUAAAGAAGAGGGUCAAAGAAUUAAACAAGAAAGGUGCUAUAUGGAAGAAGGAGCUAUCGAAGAUCAAGAAGGCACUCGACAAGGCUUCGAUGAAAAUCAGUCGGUUG